UAGAUCAUUCUAAUUAUUUUCAGGUAUUGAGUCAAGCAAUGGCUUGAUCCCAAUUAAUCCUAAGAUCUAAGUUUAAAGGGUGAUCAAUCAUAAGCUUAGCUUUGAGCACAACUAGAUGAAUGAACUAUAUUUCUAAACAUCCUAACAAUUGUUGUGUCAGUAUUACAUUUAUCAACCCAUUUGAGAAACCUAAAUCUAACAGUAAUGACUACUCAGACAUAUUCAUGAAACACAUAGUUAUGAUGGUCU
rnacentral:lncRNA from 1 species